UACGUAGGGGGCAAGCGUUAUCCGGAUUUACUGGGUGUAAAGGGAGCGCAGGCGGCGUGGCAAGUCAGAUGUGAAAACCCAGGGCUCAACCUUGGGACUGCUUUUGAAACUGAGUAGCUAGAGUGCAGGAGAGGUAAGCGGAAUUCCUAGUGUAGCGGUGAAAUGCGUAGAUAUUAGGAGGAACACCAGUGGCGAAGGCGGCUUACUGGACAGUAACUGACGUUGAGGCUCGAAAGCGUAGGGAGCAAACAGG
rnacentral:rRNA from 1 species